rnacentral:misc_RNA from 1 species
GAUGAAGAACGGAGCGAAAUGCGAUAAGUAGUGUGAAUUGCAGAAUUCAGUGAAUCAUCGAAUCUUUGAACGCACAUUGCGCCCCUUGGUAUUCCAUGGGGCAUGCCUGUUCGAGCGUCAUUUGUACCUUCAAGCCUUGCUUGGUGUUGGGUGUUUGUCUCGCCUCUGCGCGCAGACUCGCCUCAAAACAAUUGGCAGCCGGCGUAUUGAUUUCGGAGCGCAGUACAUCUCGCGCUUUGCACUCAGAACGACGACGUCCAAAAGUACAUUUUUACACUCUUGACCUCGGAUCAGGUAGGGAUACCCGCUGAACUUAAGCAUAUCAAUAAGCGGAGGA